rnacentral:lncRNA from 1 species
GAAUAAAGGAGUCGACUCUAAAACCCAUCUCUACCAAACUCACUCUAUCCCUUAUUGAUAAAUAUUUUCUCUCCUAUACUGUUAACCUCUUUUUCAACUUAUCAAAUAUCUGUUGGCGUAAUAAAAUAAAAGUAAGAUAAACUCUUAAAAGGAAAGCCUAAGUAUGUACACAGGUAACGAAUCUACUUUAUGCGUAAUUUGAU